UGGGGAAUAUUGCACAAUGGGCGCCAAGCCUGAUGCAGCCAUGCCGCGUGUGUGAAGAAGGCCUUCGGGUUGUAAAGCACUUUCAGCGAGGAGGAAGGUGGUGAACUUAAUACGUUCAUCAAUUGACGUUACUCGCAGAAGAAGCACCGGCUAACUCCGUGCCAGCAGCCGCGGUAAUACGGAGGGUGCAAGCGUUAAUCGGAAUUACUGGGCGUAAAGCGCACGCAGGCGGUUUGUUAAGUCAGAUGUGAAAUCCCCGGGCUCAACCUGGGAACUGCAUUUGAAACUGGCAAGCUAGAGUCUCGUAGAGGGGGGUAGAAAUUCCAGGUGUAGCGGUGAAAUGCGUAGAGAUCUGGAGGAAUACCGGUGGCGAAAGGCGGCCCCCUGGACGAAGNNCUGACGCUCAGGUGCGAAAGCGUGGGGAGCAAAACAGGAUUAGAUACCCUGGUAGUCCACGCUGUAAAACGAUGUCGAUUUGGAGGUUGUGCCCUUGAGGCGUGGCUUCCGGAGCUAAACGCGUUAAAAUCGACCGCCUGGGGAGUACGGCC
rnacentral:rRNA from 1 species